AUGCCGCUUGUUUCCUGCUUUAGAAUAACAGCACGAGGCAUACUGUGACCCGGCACUGCUCUAAAGGCCGUCUAUGAAUUCACUCAUUCAGCCUUCACCACAGUUCUCUGAAGUGGUGUGACUAUUAUCUACAUCUUAUAAGCAAGGGACUGAGGCUCAGGCAGGUUCAGUCACACGCCUGGGAACACUGUAUUGAUCCAAUGGCUCCUCAGAUGGUUCAGAUGCUUCCCUUUCCCUUCUGAUGUGGGUCUUUGUUAGUACUGGCUUUUGAAGGACAGCGUAAUGUGUCGCAUUUUGUGAUCCCACAUCUUAAGUGAUCGUAUUUGACUUUGCUGAAAGAGAGCGGACAAGCUCCUAAGUGCUGCAUCUGCUACCCCAGAAUGCAAUAUUAAUUUUGUGGGCAUUUUUAAUCUCCUUUGGAUUUUAAUUUUAGCUUGAAAACUUAAUGGAAUGUGGAUUAUGUGGGCUUAAUUAACUUGUAAUUUGGAUAAGGAAACCUUUACGGUAAACGCUGAAAGAAAAUGAUUCUUUGUUUCAUUUUACCUGUCAUUUGGACGGCUGCUCCCUCAUGUUUCCAAGCAGCAAAAAUUCAAACUCGGGAAAAUAUGAUUCCUGUAACGUCUGUGGCAAAUGCUUGGAACUGUAGAAAUGUCACAGCCAUACAGACCCUGCCACCUCUUCUGUGCAACUCUACGAUUGAUUUGAGUGACGAGAGUCCAAAAAAGAAGUCUCCAGCACAACAGCAUUUAGUCAAACAGGCAAUGACAUAAGAGACCGUCUUUAAUUGGAGGAUGGAAAGUUGCCACAAGUUUCCAGAGCCGCUGACUGAGGAACCCCCAUAUUUUGGACCCACAUCAACAUGGACCUGUCAAUUUUCAGCAAAAGGAGGAAAGACAACGAGAAAGAUUUAGCCAGAGGCUUGUAACAGACUUGCUGGGCUAGAGAGAGAAUUUAGUCUUCAGGACGACCAAAUAGAUGAGGACUAGAGGGUGAGGAAGAAAUCUCCAACAACUGGACCAGAAAUGAUAUAUGUGAUUUCCUCUGAAAGCAUUUGCCAACUCUAAAGGGACACAUGUACAGGGUGAAACUUCUAGAAAUCAACUAGAAACCUGUUCCCCAGAGACCAAAGAGCUUAGCAAAGACAUCAGCAUACCCACAGUCUGGUGGUCCUGGAGAGAGAAGUUAAGUUUAGGUCCACAAAAGUGGAGUGGCCCUUGUAAAUUCUACAGGCUUUCAGUCUUGAUCCCAGAAGUACUAUUAGCUAGGAACAAGGGCCAACUGGAAAAAUGACCAGCUGUAACAAAACCUAAAACCCACACUUAACUGAAUGUGCCAGUACUCUGCCUGCCUUCAGAAUAAAAUAAAACUCUGUUUGGAAAUAACAUCAACCAGAGCCUCUGCAAUAUUUUCUGCCUGAUGUCUAGUAGUCAUUUACUGGGCAUGCCCCAAAACAAGUCCAGACGACUAAAUGCGAAAACAAAAUUCUAUAGAAAGAGACCCAAGGGAUGGUUUAGAUGUUGGAGUUAUCAGAUAGGAACCUCUAAAUAACUAUGAUUAAUAUUUUCAAGAAAAUAGAGGAAAAAAUGGAGAAUUUUCCCAGAGAACUGGAAUCUGAAAAAUGCGGUGACUGGAAAUGAAAGAUUCAGUGGAGAAGCUAAUAACAGAUUUGAUGUGUCAGAAGAGAGGAUUAGUGAACUGGAAGGUAAAUGACUAGAAAUAUCUAGAUUAAAGCCCAGAGAGGGAAGAGGCUGGACAAUGAAGACGACUGUAAAUAAAGGUGUGACAUGCACUUAACAUACAUAUAAUUUAGAGUUCUAAAAGUGAGGAGCAAGAGAAUGAGAAAGAAUCCAUGAAAAAUUCCAAAAACUGGCAAUUAAGCCACAGAGCCAAAAAUCUUCAGACUCUAAGGAGGUGGAUACAAUGGAAUGAAGUGGGAAUGUUAAGCCAGAAAAGAGUAAGUGAGACAAUUAUGGUAGCCUUAAAAAAUCUGAAGUGUUGUCAGGAUGAAAAGGCAAUUUACUUGUUCUGUGUUAUCCAGGGGACAGGGCUGGGAUGUAAGUUGAAAGGCAACGAUUUGUGACUCAACAUAGGAAAGUUUAAUAAAUGUACCCGAAUAAAAAUGGAACAGUGAACUCCGAAUAAUUGAGAUUUUUAAACCAAAAUUUAGAUGAGCAGGCUUCAGAGAGGUAGAAGGUAUUCUUAAAUUGAAUGUGAGUUUAAUGAGCUUUCCUGUAAGACUCCUUGUAAUCCAAGGUUAAAUAAUUCUAUAAUGUGCAUUCCAGUGAAUGAUUGUUAUAUUUUCAUAACCACAACUAAUUUAAGAAGCUGUUCAUUUAAUCAUUAACUCAGGAAAUGUUAUUGAGUACCCACUUCAUGUGAGGCCCCAUUACAGGCCGAGGAGCUACCAAGAGACAAUAAGACACAGUCCCUGGCAUCAUCGUGAUCAUACACAUGAGAAUAGCCUCUUCUGGAGAGUUUAUAACUUAUUCAGGCGACUAUAAUCUAACUUAGUACAAGGGAAGACAGGACAUAUAUUAUUAAAAUGGAGCUGAAUAGUGUAAAAGAAUAAUUCAUCUCCACUAAAUGGGUAUUUUAUUCCUUUUUACAGGGGAGAUUACAUGCUGUUUGUCAAAUUGAACACAACUGCUAUAAAUAUAACUCUUUUCAGGACAUCCAGGUGAUCUUAGCAUCCUAUAGCUUCGGUUCUCUCGAAGGCAUGCUUGGAGCCUCAAUGUUGUUAGUUUAAACAAUCAUGAAUUCUUCAACAAUCCCUAGUUUCUAUAUUGGUUGUUAAUGUAAUGAUUCCAGUUGUCUGUCAUGAAGUGGUCAAAUAAGUCUUUAUGUAAUGGCAGAAGACAGAGGUUAAUGGUAGUAAUUCUUUUGUUUUCUUUGGUGAGGAAGACUGGCUCUGAGCUCACAUCUGUGCCCGUCUUCCUCUAUUUUGUAUGUGGGACACCACCACAGCAUGGCUUGAUGAGUGGUGCGUAGGUAUGCCCCCGAGGAUCCCAAAGCAGA